UACCAUGCCUCCACAAGAAAAUCAACUUUGUCACAAGCCUGAAAGCAUUGGAACCAGCUGGCCAAAACUCGAUUUUCUCAGGAGAGGGAAAAAUCAUCAUUACAAGGACACAUUCCUCCCCGACCGACCGCUGGCACUUUGCUCUUCAAUUCUCCAGGCUCCGCGCUGAGACAUUUUUCCUUGGCUAAGCCAGUCUGCGUUCACCUUUCCUCACCCGGCUGAAAGCUUCCCAACUCCUCACAUCUUGGCUCAUGUAUAAAAGAACUCAUCCGAAAGGCUUCCCGAAGGAGUUGGCAAGAGCUGCUCCUGGCUAGGGGUGGCUGCCGGGCAUUGGGGGAAGGGGCUUCAGGCUCUACCAGGUCAUUCCGAAAGCUGAAGGGACCACGUAUGGGCAUUUGAAAAUGUGCUUUCUUUGGGGCAGUUUUAAUGGGAAAUGCAGGCUUGGAAAAUAAACCCCUCAGGUGUUCUGGGGUAUCACGCUA